UCUUAUAAUUGGUACAUAAUUUACCUUUGCUUCCUAGUUUUCAGUUUUCCCCCGAUUUGAAAUAAAAUGAAUCUAACUUGGCAGGAAAUAAUAGAAGUAUUUCUCAAACGAGAAUGAACAAGGAAAGGGCCAAGAUUUAGGGUUUUACAUUGUGCUGGAAAAAGUGAGCACGGCAAUGGGGAGGGACACGGAGAAUGACAAAGAGAACGAGAGAAAGGGAGAUUCGCCAUCAAAGGAGGAAGAAGAGAAAUAAAGAUGGAGAAGGCGACAAUGGAGAGAGAAGUCGCCACCUCCGCUUCCUGCACUUCUAGGCUAUCUCUGCCUUGCGCUGCUAUUGCCGUUUCUACCUUGCGCUGCCGGAUCCGCUGCUGCUGUAAUCCCUCUUCUCUGCCUUGUGCUGCCUGAGCCGUUUCUGGUCGUCGUCACUGCUCGAUGGUUGUCGUCGGCUCGCCAAUGCCUCACGUCUUCGCUGCUCUGCCUAAGCCGUCUUUGCUGUAAUCCUCACUGCUCGCUGCAAUCAUGUCUCAAGUUAGGGUUUUUUCUCCUCCGUAAUCUUAGGAAGCUAAUUCUAUGCUCAAAUUGGGGAAAUUGAGGAAUGUGUUUAGGAUGUACAUAUAUUCUUUGAGAGGGUCUAGUGUAUGUGCUUAUUGAAUAUGCUUUUUCGAGUCGCUAGCAUAAAAUACUAUGCUUUGAGCUUCGAGGCCCAAACAUGUUCAGAAACAACUCUUGUGGUUAGUACGGGCAACCGCAGAAGCUUUCAGAGUUGCUGAUGCUCCUGCCAAGGUUUUCUUUCUUCUGAUUGAAAACACUAAGGAGAUUCUUCCAUUUUGCACACAAAUCUUCCAAUUCCAGGCUCAGUGGGCUAUGCUGCUGGAUAUGCAAUUCCAAGUUUUUUUAAAAGUGUGGAGAAAGCAUUUCUCAAAAAGUAUUGGGCCAACAAACAUGAUACUGAGUCUCAGUCUUCCAGUCUCUGUUUCAGUACCUCAAAACAAAUGCUACCUAAAUGCAAAUUGUACAUAUAUAGCAAAUUGUUGCGGCAUGACCUAAGGGAGAAGAGAAACAUACAAGAAUUGAGUGGUGUUUUUGUAUUUAAUGUUCCUGAAAGAGACUAUCUAGAUAGGCCAACUGCUAGGCUCAUAAAAGAAUUUGACUGCAUCGAGGGUAUGUUUUCUAACAACCAUUUUGAUGUAACAAGGUCAUACCCUACUAAACUAUUUAGCUUGAAAAUGUGAUCACGUUUGGAUUGAACUCGAACUUUUAUUUCUUGUCAAGUAUCUGUACCUCUAAUUAAGGAGCGAAAUUUCAUGGAUUGAAAGACUCUAAAAGCAUGCUUAAUGCUUUUGGGGAGUCCUGUGGAUCGGUAAUUCUGGAUGCAGGGGUGAAUAUUAUCUAGCUUUUAUUUCUUGGUUCUCGUUGGAAACCACCUAAAUUUGUGUUCAUCAAAAAUUGUGUUAGGAAUUUGUUGUUACUUGUUUCCCAUUUUUCACGCUCUUAACCUUAGCCACCACACUAUUUGUUGUUAUUUGUUUCCCACUUUGCCAUCCUUCCUGUCCUGAAUUGGUAUAAUUCCAAUUUCAUUAUAUUAUUAUUGUAGUUGUAGGAGGCAUAGCUUUAGAAAGAUAGAAAUGGCUCCCUGUUGUGACAAGGUGGGACUCAAGAAAGGCUGUUGGACAAAAGAGGAGGAUCAAAUCUUGACCAACUACAUUCAAGCCAAUGGAAAAGGUUCUUGGAGGGCUUUGCCUAAGAAUGCUGGGUUACUAAGAUAUGGCAAGAGUUGCAGAUUGAAAUGGAUCAACUAUGGAAGAGCUGAUCUCAAAAGAAAAAACAUCUCCAUUGAAGAGAAAACCAUCAUUACUAAGUUGCAUGCUUCUUUUGGCAACAGCAUGAGAUGAAUGAGAACAAAGAAGACCCGUCACAAGUUGAUGUGUUUGUUGCAACUCAAACUGGAUGAAAAGGAAAAGAGCUUGAUUCAGGAACACAAGCUAUUAUUAUUUAGCAUAUGGAACAAGUCAAGCAUGGAUAUAAAAUAUGCAAGUAGAUUGACAUCUUUUUUAUAAAUAUUAAUUACUAUUUUGUUAUGACAAUUAUUGUUAGACAGGAAUUUUAUUAUUUUGUUGAGAAUUAUUAAUGAACAUGUAUUUGAAAUACUAAUUGAAC